UGCCCCUCCGCGGGCCCCGCCAAUCAUGAGCUGGAUUUCGUGGGACGAAGGGUCGUUAUUGGACAACCGCCGCGGGCGCCCUGGUCUCUGCUACCUGUAGCUGAGGGCGCUGUUGAUGGGCAGCGCGGCGCGCCGGGAAGGCUCGUUCUCGCGAGAGUUCAGUUCCCUUCUUAGCCGUGGCUGCCUCAGCACCUCGAGGAUCGACAUGGACGGUCUCGAGGACUACGUUUGCCCGCUGGCAACCUCGGAGCUUAUACUCCUCCCAGUCACGGGUCUGGAGUGCGUGGGGGACCGGCUGUUGGCGGGUGAGGGUCCCGAUGUCCUGGUGUACAGCUUGGACUUUGGUGGGCAUCUGCGGAUGAUAAAGCGAGUACAGAACCUGCUUGGCCACUAUCUUAUCCAUGGCUUCCGGGUGCGGCCAGAGCCUAAUGGAGACUUUGACUUGGAGGCCAUGGUGGCUGUGUUUGGAAGCAAGGGACUCCGAGUUGUGAAAAUUAGCUGGGGACAGGGCCACUUCCGGGAGCUUUGGCGCUCUGGCCUGUGGAACAUGUCUGACUGGAUUUGGGAUGCACGCUGGCUUGAGGGAAAUAUAGCCUUGGCCCUGGGCCACAACUCAGUGGUCCUAUAUGAUCCUAUAGUAGGGUGCAUCCUGCAAGAGGUGCCCUGCACAGACAGGUGCACCCUCUCUUCAGCCUGCCUGAUUGGAGACGCCUGGAAGGAGCUGACCAUAGUGGCAGGUGCUGUUUCCAACCAGCUCUUGGUCUGGUACCCAGCAACUGCCUUAGCAGACAACAAACCUGUAGCACCUGACCGACGAAUCAGUGGGCACGUGGGCAUCAUCUUCAGCAUGUCAUACCUGGAAAGCAAGGGUUUGCUGGCUACAGCUUCAGAAGACCGAAGCGUUCGUAUCUGGAAGGUGGGCGACCUGCGAGUGCCUGGGGGUCGGGUGCAGAAUAUUGGGCACUGCUUUGGGCACAGCGCCCGUGUAUGGCAGGUCAAGCUCCUAGAGAAUUACCUUAUCAGUGCAGGAGAGGACUGUGUCUGCUUGGUGUGGAGCCAUGAAGGUGAGAUCCUCCAGGCCUUUCGGGGACACCAGGGACGUGGGAUCCGGGCCAUAGCUGCCCAUGAGAGGCAGGCCUGGGUGAUCACUGGGGGUGAUGACUCAGGCAUUCGGCUGUGGCACUUGGUAAGGCGUGGGUACCGGGGAUUGGGGGUCUCGGCUCUCUGCUUCAAGUCCCGUAGUAGGCCAGGUACCCUCAAGGCUGUGACGCUGGCUGGCUCUUGGCGACUGCUGGCAGUGACUGAUACAGGGGCCCUGUAUCUCUAUGACGUCGAGGUCAAGUGCUGGGAGCAACUGCUAGAGGAUAAACAUUUCCAGUCCUACUGCCUGCUGGAGGCAGCUCCUGGUCCUGAGGGCUUUGGAUUGUGUGCUAUGGCCAAUGGGGAAGGUUGUGUCAAGAUUGUCCCCAUCAACACUCCAACUGCUGCUGUGGACCAGACCCUGUUUCCUGGGAAGGUGCACAGCUUGAGCUGGGCCCUGCGUGGUUAUGAGGAGCUCCUGUUGCUGGCAUCGGGCCCUGGUGGGGUAGUAGCUUGCCUAGAGAUCUCAGCCGCACCCUCUGGCAAGGCCAUCUUUGUCAAGGAACGUUGUUGGUACCUGCUGCCCCCAAGCAAGCAGAGAUGGCACACAUGCAGUGCCUUCCUACCCCCAGGUGACUUCCUGGUGUGUGGUGACCGCCGGGGCUCUGUGCUACUGUUCCCCUCCAGACCAGGUCUGCUCAAGGACCCUGGGGUGGGAGGCAAGACUGGGGCUGGUGCUGGGGCACCUGGAGUGGGUAGUGGUAGUAGUGGGGGUGGGAAUGCUUUCACUGGGUUGAGCCCAGUGUCUACCCUGCCCUCUCUGCAUGGGAAGCAGGGUGUGACCUCAGUCACAUGCCAUGGUGGCUAUGUGUAUACCACAGGGCGCGAUGGCGCCUACUACCAGCUAUUUGUACGAGACGGCCAGCUCCAGCCAGUCCUAAGGCAGAAGUCCUGUCGAGGCAUGAACUGGCUAGCUGGGCUCCGUAUAGUGCCCGAUGGGAGCAUGGUUAUCCUGGGUUUCCAUGCCAAUGAGUUUGUGGUGUGGAGCCCGCGGUCACACGAGAAGCUGCACAUUGUCAACUGUGGUGGAGGGCACCGUUCGUGGGCAUUCUCUGAUACUGAGGCGGCCAUGGCCUUUGCUUACCUCAAGGAUGGGGAUGUCAUGCUGUACAGGGCUCUGGGUGGCUGCACUCGGCCACAUGUGAUUCUCCGGGAGGGUCUGCAUGGCCGUGAGAUCACUUGUGUAAAGCGUGUGGGCACCAUUACCCUGGGGCCUGAAUAUGGAGUGCCCAGCUUCAUGCAGCCUGACGACCUGGAGCCUGGCAGUGAGGGACCUGACUUGACUGACAUUGUGAUCACCUGUAGUGAGGACACUACUGUCUGUGUCCUAGCACUCCCUACAACAACAGGCUCAGCCCAUGCACUCACAGCUGUUUGUAACCACAUAUCUUCUGUACGUGCUGUGGCUGUAUGGGGCAUUGGCACCCCAGGUGGCCCUCAGGAUCCUCAGCCAGGCCUGACUGCCCAUGUGGUGUCUGCGGGGGGACGGGCUGAGAUGCACUGCUUCAGCAUCAUGGUUACUCCGGACCCCAGCACCCCAAGCCGCCUCGCCUGCCAUGUCAUGCACCUUUCGUCCCACCGGCUAGAUGACUAUUGGGACCGGCAACGCAAUCGGCAUCGAAUGGUCAAGGCAGACCCAGAGACCAGGUACAUGUCCCUUGCUGUGUGUGAACUUGACCAGCCCAGCCUUGGCCCCCUUGUGGCUGCAGCCUGUAGUGAUGGGGCUGUAAGGCUCUUUCUCUUGCAGGAUUCCGGGCGGAUUCUGCAGCUCCUUGCUGAAACCUUCCACCAUAAGCGAUGUGUCCUCAAGGUCCACUCCUUUACACAUGAGGCACCCAACCAGAGACGGCUGUCUUUUCCUGGCUUCCAGGAGGCUCCUCCUGUGCAGCGCAGCUACUGAUGGCAACCUGGCUUUCUGGGAUCUCACCACCGUGCUAGACCAUGGCUCCACUGUCCUGGAGCCUCCAGUGGAUCCUGGGCUUCCCUACCGGCUUGGCACCCCCUGUCUGACUCUGCAGGCCCACAGCUGUGGUAUCAACAGCCUGCACACGUUGCCCACCCGUGAGGGCCACCAUCUCGUGGCCAGUGGCAGUGAAGAUGGAUCCCUCCAUGUCUUCGUGCUUGCUGUGGAGAUGCUAGAGCUAGAAGAGGCUGUGGGAGAGGGUGGGCUGGUACCCCAGCUGCGUGUGCUAGAGGAAUACUGUGUCCCCUGUGCACAUGCUGCCCAUGUGACAGGCCUCAAGAUCCUAAGCCCAAGUAUCAUGGUCUCAGCCUCCAUUGAUCAACGGCUGACCUUCUGGCGUCUGGGGCAUGGUGAACCCACCUUCAUGAAUAGCACUGUGUACCAUGUGCCAGAUGUGGCUGACAUGGACUGCUGGCCUGUGAGCCCUGAGUUUGGCCACCGCUGUGCCCUUGGGGGUCAGGGGCUUGAGGUUUACAACUGGUAUGACUGAGGUAUCCCACGGUGGCCGGUGUGCUGGGCAUGGGGCCUGCUCGCAGACAGCAUGGAGCAGGGAUGGGCUGUCUGUGCCCAUGCUCAGCAUGCCUUGAGGGGAGGAGGUGGCGGCCGCGGGUUCCUGACAUCGGUCCAGGAACUGAAGGUGAGUGGAGUGCUGCCAAGAAUAUGCCCCACUCCCCAUGACAAGACAGAACUUUGUAACAGUACCAAUUUAUUUUGGCCGUGGGUUUUUGCUUUUUUUCCAGUUGAUGACUUUGUGAACAUUCCCAAAUAUUGGAGCCUCUGUGGCCUCAGAUGUGGCUCAGUGGAGGGAGACCCAGCAUAGCCAGGCCAGUAUGGAGCACCUCACGCACAGCCCUCAGAAGCUGCAGGCGGACGAACAUCUGACCAAAGCGGUGUGGUCGAGGCUCCUGAAAGAGAAGGGGCCUACUGGUCUCAUCCUCUGCUUCCUUUGUCUUUACCCUGUACCUCUCUGCAUGUCCCAAACCCGUUUUUGCUGUGCGCUCACCCCUAGGAUGUGUACUCGGUUGUAGUAGGAGCUGAAAUCCAUGCUGAGCUGUACCAGGAACUUGCACAUCUAGAGACAGAGACUGAGUCACUGGCCCAUCUCUUUGCUCUUGUGCCCCAGGCCAGAAUAAAGAAUAGAGUGUAGAGUGUC